GUGCAGUUCCACGUCCAGAGAUGUUUCUGUGAAAAUGUCCAUACGCAAACAGUAUUCAAAAUUUUAGACCACCAUAUAAUAAAAAGCUGGCGCUGCCGCUAGUCAUCUCAUUAAAUGUGCUGCGGAUGUGAAUCACCACUAGAUGCCGCGCAUGGCUGUGAGUGGGAGUCACGGUUAGGUAGCGUUACUGUUAUUCUACGCUCAUACGACAAUGCAUUGAAGAAGAGAAAGUGUCUUGGGAUGCCAGUGUGGUAAAAAACCAGUUACAGCUAGUUGAACACUCAGGCGCUGUAAAAUGGUGAUAUACCGAAAUGGUCAGUUUUAGGGUACUGAUGAGCCACUAGAUCGUAACACGUGCAGGCCCACGGGUUUAUGCAGCCGUCACUACCCCUGGAAUUCUUCGUCAGAUAGUAUACCUUGUGAAGUUUUUAACAGCGUUUCUUUAACUGCGGCGGAUGUGGGACUUUCGGACUAAACAGUAUCACAGCCAGUGGGCAAUGAAAUUGCAGGACAUCAAAUUUUCAACAUAUUAAAGUUUCAAAUAUCAGCAAUCAAGGGCAAGUCACUGCUAAAAUGUUAAAAUUGCUGCCAGUCUUUGCUAGCUGAUCAUAAAAUAUAAUGUAGCUACAUAGCUUUGUUAGCCUGUCCCAGAAUUGAUAGCAAAUAAUACUGCUUUAGUUAUGGGUGAUUAUGGGUGCAUUAACCCAACUUUUUGUUUUUUUGACAUUUGUGUUCUACGUUCACACAAAUAUUGAAUGAUAUUCCUUAUUUAGUAAAAUAACAUUUACUUUGGUGAUUUAUUCCAGGUUACUGUCAAUCUGCUAGCUAAUUAACAAAGAUAUUUUAUUAUUACAUAGCUUGGUUUGCUUGUUCCAAGAAUCGCAAACAGAUAAUAGUGAGGUGGUGGUGAAAGUGGCGUACGUGAAAGGUAACAAGGCAAUAUUUUUCUUGUAACUAGUAUGAUUUUAAUAUUAAGUUUGUUUAACUCGUAGAUGGUAAGCAAGCUACUUCCCUUUUCGUCCACUAGAUGGCGAACAAGCUAUUUCCCUUUUCGUUGCCUUUUCUUCCACUAGAUGGCAAGCAAGCUACUCCCCUUUUCGUCCACUAGAUGGCGAGCAAGUUACUUCGCUUUUCGUCCACUAGAUGGCAAGCAAGCUACUCCCCUUUUCGUCCACUAGAUGGAAGCAAGCUACUUCCCUUUUCGUCCACUGGAUGGUGUUUGGGCUGUUUUCCAACAGGUGGUGUGCGAAUCUACCAAUAUAUGGUGCUCAGAUGUAUGGUGCUCAGAUCCAACUUACCCUGAUAGCCAACAGAUUUCCUUGCAAGCCUCACUGGGUAUGUCCGUUACGUGGCGUUGCCUGCUACCUUAAGCUCGUCAGAAAUUCUUGGCAUUCGAUGAAUUCUACGGGUUAAAUGAAGAAAGAUAAUGAAUUGAAAAAUGUUUUGCGUAAGAGUUGGAUGUUCAGAAAGUUCUAGCAGCUGUGACAUGGAUAAUUUCACUUCCACACAUCUUGUAAACCACAGGGACACUACUUCUGUACAAUUACUUGUUGGAUAUUGUUGUGGUGAAACAUAGCGCUGGCUGUGCAACAUUAAAGUAUUUAAUUCCUUAAGGUUAUCAUUGUUUUCUAGCAACAUUUGUAAUGUAAUGCCUUAUACAGGUAAAGUGGAGAUUCUUGUGAUCUUUUCCUUGACAUACAUACACUCCUGAAUAAAAUUGGCUUUGGGUUGUUAAAAUGCAAAUAAUUUUUAACCUGUGGAUGUAUGCCUAAAGAAUUGCCUAUGUGCUGUGAGAUACUUCUUUUGUGGUAUUUAGGUAUGAGAGACUGAUACUACAUAGACUGUUCAAGGGGUUUCUGAGCAUACCAUUUAUCCCAGGUGAAUUUGUGAUACUUGCAUUGACAUACCAAUUGAAUUGAAAUUGUCUAUGGUCGGUGAAAAUGGUGGAUGAUUUUAACCAGUGCAUGUAUGCCCAAAGGAGUUGCUUGAAAGAAAUGCAAUUCCCUUAAACAUGUGAAGGAACUGCUGUAUAGGUAAUUGAAGAAGUUUUUCUGCAGAGUUCUAACUUAAGGUAGUUUAAAGAAGUCACAUGGUUACAGAAAUAUUUAAAGGCUUUACAGUGAUAUGAAUAACUAUUCGGUACUGACAGACACGAACAAAAGUGGUCUUCAAAAUCGAAUUUUCUAUCUAUUCAUUUCGUUCUUAGUUUGCAUUUCAAAGGUAAGAUUUUGAUUUUUAUACGAAAUCUGGCAGACCUGGAUUGUUAUGGCUGUAUAUUUCAUACUUAAAUUAAUUUGGUUUUGUCAAUCUCUUGUUGGGAAAAUUAGAACAGCUGUGUCGGGCGACUCGGUGUGAAAAAGGGUGAUUUCCGAGGCAAAAUGCUAGUAAAUCAGCUUUCGGUAAGUAGACGACCUCGUUGCGUCUAAUCAAUUAAAUUUGUAAUCCUUCAAAUAGACAAACACAUCUGCAAGCAAGAGUCAGCUUCGUGAUUGAGAUCCCUCAUCAAAAACAACAGCUAGCCCAUAUUCGAUUAGUCUUACAAAGUUUGUACAGCUGCUAUUCCCAAUCACGUGUGCAGUGGAAAAUGCAUGACAGACGUGACGGUAGACAUAGAUCUGAAUGUAUAUCCCAUACAAAUAAAUCUGAUGGAUAGGAUUUUACCAUCUAGGCGUCCCGGGACUUCAGGAUUAUUGUUUGCCGUUGAAGAUGUUG